ensembl:lncRNA
ACGGAGGUCUGGCCGCCCCCCGCCCCUUGGUGGGUCCCCCGGCCGCCCGCUCGGAGCAGCUGCACUCACUGCCUGGCUGCGCGCGCCCAGCGCCUGCAGGGCCCGGCGGCGGCGGCGGCGGCGGGGACCGAGACAGCGGCUGCAGCAGCGGCGGCGGCGGCGGCCCUAGCCGGCGUCAGUCAGACUGGAGCCGCGAAGCCUCAUCGCCCGUAUUAGUGCGCCGACCUGGAAAGCCGCCAGGAGCCCUGCUCGCGGGUCCGCCCCCGCCCGCCGCCGCCGCGCGCCCAGAGCCGCUUGGGGAGCCCGCGAGGAGGGGGAGCGCGGCCCGCCCCGCGGCCACGUGCGCGGAAGCCCGCGGCGGGGGCGCCUCGGGGACGUCCCGGCGCGGGGUCUCCCGGGCCCCCGGGCGGCGUCCUCGUCCUCCCGUGGGACCCGACUCCCCUUGUCCGCGGCUCGGCCCCCUCGGCUGGGCGGCGGGGGCACCUCGCGUCUCUCUCCCCGAGACGUCCUGCCUCCCCACCUGGAGCCCGAGGCCGGAGUACCGUUUCCAGAACUCGAGGUGUGGGACCGACAAAUCGGUUUGGAAACCGCCACCCCCAACAAGUGGCUCUUCCCGAAGUGUUUCUGGGCCCCGAGGGUGGCUGUUCCUUGCUGUUUGUCUCUUACUUGCUUUGCAAGAGUAAAGGGGGUCAUUACCCCCAACCGACAGCGCCAGAGUAACUGGUUUGCCCCUGCAUAAGCGGAUGAAAAUCGACUCACUCAGAGUGGUGAGUGGUGGUUAAAACUAGGCUAGGUGUUAAGUUUGAGAUCGCUCUGGGUGUGAAAGUCCAGGGAACCUUUGGACUGCUACCAAUGGCACCUCCUGGGCAUUUUAUUGCAGGUGCAUUAGACAAGGCAGAGGACUCAACGCAGAGCAAGAAGCCAUAACCUCUGCAGUGCUGGCUUGGGCUUCCAGCACAGUCUUUAUAGGUUCUCCGAGUUCUCUGGGCUCUUGGCAGGACUUGCUUCUGCAGAUUCUUUGAAGCAGGUGACACAGGAGACACGGAUUCGAUCCCUGGUUUGGGAAGAUCCCCUGGAGGAGAGCAUGGCAGCCCACUUCAGUGUUCUUGCCUGGAAAAUUCCACAGACAGAGGAGCUUGACGGGCUACAGUCCAUGGGAUCACAAGGAGUCGGACAGGACUGGGACAGGCUGAGCCCACUAGACCAGCAAGUUGCCUGGCUGGAAGAUGCAAGUUUCUCCCUGGUGUUUAUCAACAGAUGACUUCUGAUGGAAUGAAUCCUAGGAGAAAUAGAAGAGAUAUUCAAAACUCUUUAAAUGAGACUAAAAGAACAUCUCUGAAAGCAUUUUCUGUACAAAUAUAAUGUUUCAUGUUCAUACAGAAUUUAAGAUUAAUAAAGGAUCUUAAUCGUUGUCUGUGCUUCUAUCAUACUGCAUAUUGUUUGUGGUCAUGUAUGGAUGUGAGAGUUGGACUGUGGAGAAGUCUGAGCGCCAAAGAAUUGAUGCUUUUGAACUGUGGUGUUGGAGAAGACUCUUGAGAGUUCCUUGGACUGCAAGGAGAUCCAACCAGUCCAUUCUGAAGGAGAUAAGCCCUGGGAUUUCUUUGGAAGGAAUGAUGCUAAAGCUGAAACUCCAGUACUUUGGCCACUUUAUGUGAAGAGUGACUCAUUGGAAAAGACUGAUGCUGGGAGGGAUUGGGGGCAGGAGGAGAAGGGGACGACAGAGGAUGAGACGGCUGGAUGGCAUCACUGACUCGAUGGACAUGAGUCUGAGUGAACUCUGGGAGUUGGUGAUGGACAGGGAGGCUUGGCGUGCUGCGAUUCAUGGGGUCACAAAGAGUCGUACACAACUAAGCAACUGAAUGAACUGAAACAGGAUUUUAAAUUUUACAAUCUCGAUUCAUUUCUUUCUUUAUAUAAUCUUGAUUCUCUCUUCUCUUUAAUGGAAAGAGAAUAGUAAUCAUAGUGGAAAAUACUGGGUCAAACGCUUACCCUACCUUCUUCAGUAUGAGAACCUGUUACCCUCUGCUAAUACUUUUUAUCUUAAAAAAGACAGAUUGGGCUGUAAUUGCACACUUAGCUUACUGAUUCUCCAGCAGUGGGUCAUAGCUUCCCAGCUGUGAUGUCAGAAGAUUGCCUAGGGGAUUGCAAUGCCUGUAACCUCUGUUUUUGCCCCUUUACCCUCCCUCAUCUAUAAUAAACUGUCUUAUAAAUUCUGCUAUAUACAUUUAGAACCACAUCAGACUUUUAUAGUGUUUGCUUCCACC